AUUGAACGCUGGCGGCAGGCUUAACACAUGCAAGUCGAGCGGGGUGAUGGUGCUUGCACUAUCACUUAGCGGCGGACGGGUGAGUAAUGCUUAGGAAUCUGCCUAUUAGUGGGGGACAACAUCUCGAAAGGGAUGCUAAUACCGCAUACGUCCUACGGGAGAAAGCAGGGGAUCACUUGUGACCUUGCGCUAAUAGAUGAGCCUAAGCCGGAUUAGCUAGUUGGUGGGGUAAAGGCCUACCAAGGCGACGAUCUGUAGCGGGUCUGAGAGGAUGAUCAGCCACACUGGGACUGAGCCAAGGCCCAGACUCCUACGGGGGGAAGCAGUGGGGAAUAUUGGACAAUGGGGGGAACCCUGAUCCAGCCAUGCCGCGUGUGUGAAGAAGGCCUUAUGGUUGUAAAGCACUUUAAGCGAGGAGGAGGCUCUUUUGGUUAAUACCCAAGAUGAGUGGACGUUACUCGCAGAAUAAGCACCGGCUAACUCUGUGCCAGCCGCCGCGGUAA
rnacentral:rRNA from 1 species